GCCGCUGCCUUUACCGUUCCCGAGCGGCCCAGCACACAGCCGCCACGGCGGCAGAAAGCCCGCUGCCCUCGUCACCGCCCGCAGACCCGCCUCACCUGGACUUGCCCACGCCACUCUCGCCGAUGAUGAGGAUCUUCAGGGUAGUCAGCACGUCCUCGUCCAUCCUGACCCUGCUCCGCUCUGAGCCCAGCCGGCCACCCGGGUCCGGUUCUCAACCCUUCCCCCCCGGGAGCGGUGCCCGCGCAUGCGCAGCGCUGCGCAUCUGCCACCUUCCUUCCUACCCGGGCUAUUUAGGUUGCACAAGCGCCGGUCUUCCCAGUUCCGCCUUGAGGAAGCGCUGCGUCUGCGCAAACUCAGAGUCUCCCGCGUCUUUCCGGAGUGAUUAAUCAGCCUUUGCGCAAGCGCAGAUGCGAAGCCCCGCGUGUCAUGUCACCCUCCUUUUGUAGGCUGUCGCUCCUCCCCGGCCCGAACCUAAACUUCCUUCGCUGGCUGGUGUUACGUGGGAAAGGACUGAGCUGGCCGAGCGGGGCGCUUUGAUUUCAGCAGCUAGCUCGUAACAGCUGCAAUAUACUUCUGUUACUCCAUAUCGUAUCAUCACCAUAAACGUGUACACUUUAGCUAAACAUGCAAAGUUUUAUUUCCUCAACCACCAGUGCCCAGUGAUAUAGGAAAAGAAGCCCUAAUUCAUCUGGUUAUUUAAAGCGUUGUCUCUUACCCAUCAAGAAGCCACAAAGGAAGAAAAACUUACUUUCGGGAACAGUGAUUAAAUGGAUAUGCUAUUCAAAUACUUGCAUUAAGCUCAUUUUCACUACUGACUACAAUGUUCUAGAUAUUUCAUGUUGAUUAUGAUCCUUUCAGUUCAAAAAUCCAAGUAAACAUUCUGAUAUUUGAACAUAGAGUGGAGAGGAUAGCAACAAUUCAAGAUCGGCUUCCUCCACUGCCACCACCUCUUGGUGCUCCGCGGCUUGAACUGCUGUAGGAAUCACAUGGCGGAGGGUACCCCCUUUCCAGAGAAGGGGGAAGCCCUCUUUCUUGUCUGCCAACCCGAUCACGACCACUUGAGUAGAGAUCACUUCGGCUGCUUGAGUAACUGUCUCGACUUCCACCAUAUCCGUCACGUGAGCUGCUGUAAUCAUCAUAGUGGGGUACCCUACACGUUCAGAGAAACUUCUCUAGUAACAAACUAUAGAAAUGAUCCCUGAAAGUAUAGUCUUCAGACCUGGUUUCAAAGCUUCAUUCAGUCACUCACUGUGUGACGAGAGGCAAGCCAUUCAAGAUUUUAAGCCCUGAUUUCUUCAUUUGUAAAACAACAUGAGUUAUACCUACCUUUAAGGGUUAAUUAUAUAACAUGAUGAAUAUACAGUGACUGGUGAACAGCAGAUCCUCAAUAAUGAUGGCUAUUAUUAUUAUUAUUAUUAAUUCAGCCAAUCCCAUCAGUCAGGACUGCCAUCAGAGAUAAUGAUUCCCUAGGGAUUUUACUAUGGAAGGAUGAGUUGAGGAUUAUUUGCCUGGGGCCCUGUUUCAAAGCUGGAGCUUAAAGUUUAUCAAGGGGUACACUUUGCUUUCUAGCAAAGACAUCUCUUGGAAGUUUAGAGUUUGGAGCAAAUUAUACAGUAUGACAUCCAUUCUCCUACCCUCCAAAUAUUAGAUUAGAAGGAACACAGAGAGACAGCUCUUCAUGUGACACCCCCCCCCACCCCCGGCAUGGUGACAGGUCGCCUCUGAUAUCUUCUCAAGUCACUGUGCAUCCUGUAGUUAUUGCAUUGUUCAAGUGGUGGAAGCCAGAUGCAGUUCCAAGGAAGAUCUUCUGGACACAAUACUUUCUAGGGGGAGAGAAAAAGCCAGAAAAAGCAAGCACGUGAUGACAUUGAUAGAAAACAGGGACUAAUUUUUUUAUGUAAGAGAAAUCCUCCACAGCCAGGCCAGCUCCUAUCUCUCUAUACCUUUCCUGAACUAACUUCUCGGAUAUUCCCUUCUUGACCAACUGCCAGAUCCUCUUCUCUGCCUACCGACCCCCUCCUAUCACCAGUGCAGCUCAUAAGCCCUCAAAAGGUAACUGGUGAGUGACUGGUGAGUGUUGACAGUAAAACUGCCUUUGGAGACACAGGAGGCACUUGUUCAUGUGGCUCUGUUAAGGUAUACCUGGUGUCCUGAACUGAAAGCAACUAGACAAAGGCAUGCUCCUGUGCUGGAAUAGACUUCACUUCCCCUGGCAGGGCUUCUAGGGGUCAGAUCUCCAUCACAGGGAUCCCAGGGGAUCUGGCCAAUGGAAGGAAACUGGGAGAUAAUGGAGGCGUUUUGUCCAUUUCCUAUAACUUAAGGAUAGUCCCUAGGUUAGAAAAGAAAAGGAAAAAAUGCCCUACCUUAUGUUUGAAAGGUAGUUAGGGAAUCAAGCCUGGGGUAAAUUUCAAUCACCUUGAGAAUGUAAUUAGAGUUGCAGAUAUGUCUAAAAGUGAAAAGGAGGGGAGCUGCUAGGGGAGGUUGAGAAGUUCAACCCUUCAGAAACACCUGGAAUUUUAAAGGUAUCAAUGCUGAACUCUACCCCUCAAGAGGUUCUGAUGUAAUUGGUAGAUGUGACUUGUGGGGGUUUUGUAUGUGUGUGUUUGGCUGGUUGGUGGGGUUUUGGGGGUUUGUUUUCGGUGUUAUUUUAAAUUCUUCAAUACUAAUGUGCUGCCAGGGAUGAGACCCACUCGGGGUAGAGAAUUCUAUGACUUUAAGUUCUCCCAUGUGCUGACACAUUAUAGUAUCAAGUGGUGGUGUUGAUGGUUCUAGGAACAAUAAUUUCACCUGCAGUAGUGUGAACUCUGCUGGGAGAGUCCUCAUCACUUAUCAGACUAGGUAAAACUUGUAGAACCCAAAGAAAAUUAGGGCUUCUUGGGUGAUGAGGAGAGAACCCCAUCGAGGAAAGACCCACGGGCUCUGAGAACUCCCAGGAACAGGAUGCAGAAGGUCUCUUUCCCAUCUUGAACCCCUAAACCAUGAUAUUAACACAAUGACUACAUAUUCAGUGAUUUGUAUGCAAACAACAUAAGCAAUUGUGCCUCAUGUGGUGAACUUCUGAUUGUAUGCCAGUACAGUAAUAAAACUAAGUUACUCACUACCAUGCUCUGGGUUAGAGAGCAUA